rnacentral:rRNA from 1 species
UACGGAAGGGGCAAGCGUUGUUCGGAAUCAUUGGGCGUAAAGGGCGCGUAGGUGGUUCUGUAUGUCUACCGUGAAAGCGUACGGCUCAACCGUAUUUUGUCGGUAGAAACUGCAGGACUUGAGGCUGGGAGGGGCUGGUGGAAUUCCCUGUGUAGCGGUGAAAUGCGUAGAGAGUGGGGGAGAACACUCGUGGCGAAGGCGGCCAGCUAGACCAGUUCUGACACUGAGGCGCGACAGCGUGGGGAGCGAACAGG